rnacentral:lncRNA from 1 species
CAUUAGCUGAGCUGAUGAUUGUGGUAACUAUACUGAGCCUUUUUGGAAUCCUUAGCAUGGGAAGCUAUGUUGCUUGAAAUGCUCAACUACAGUUCAUGGACCAGGUAUCCUCUGGAGGCUUGCUACGGUCCAGUUGGAAAUCGCGAGAGAUGAUCCGGGAGAAGGGGGAGCCGAUGUGCGUGAAGCGCGGCGGCUGGGACGUCCUCGAGAGAAGCGGGGGUUAUUUGGAGACUUUGCCAUGGAGGGACGGGAAGGCUGGGUUUGUGGUGAGAGAGGGACUACGACGGCAGAACGCAGUCUUCGGCGAGGAGUUGAAUCUUGUGAGGACUGGCUGGGAGAUGAACGGCGCUGAUGUGGCACGGCGGGUGAAGGAGGCGAUGAGACGGAGGUGAGGGGAGCGGGGGAGGAGGACUGGACGAGAGGGGUAGGAGAGUCUCCUGUGCUGCAGAAAAGGUCUUCAUCGGAGCAGCGAAUUUGUAGAUCCAUGAGAAGGGAGCACGGAUACGAGCUAGGCGAAAACGAACCAUGCAGAAAACGAACGAGGAAAAGGAGAGGGUGAAGUUUGAUAUAUAUGGAGACCGGUUGCUUACGUCAGGAUUAGUGAGAAUUGCGGCAGCUGUGUCGAAUGAGCGCAGCUGCCUUCAUUCCUCCCGAACUUUCAUUAAAAACUCCAUAAAUCAGCUCGCACUUGCUGACAAGACUAGUGGUUGCUGUCUUUCCCUAUUGCGCAAUAUGAAUAAAUGCCUUACUGAGUAAAUGAGAACACCUCUCCUGGCUCUUCUUUGAUAAAGAUUCCACGACACUGCGUACAGUAUAUACCAGAUAAGAGCAGACUAGCUAUGUAAUCAGUGAAAUACUG